rnacentral:tRNA from 1 species
AGCUAAUUAGCUUAAAAAAGCAUAUGUUUUGAAAGCAUAAGUUAGAGGAUUGACUCCUUUAUUAGCUU